GGAUCAGUUGGUAGAGCUUGGUGUAGUCAGCUUGGUGUAGUCAGUAUGUUAGUAGUUGUCCUGUUUGGAUCAGUUGGUAGAGCUUGGUGUAGUCAGCUUGGUGUAGUUAUUAUGUUAGUAGUUGGUGUAGUCAGUAUGUUAGUAGUUAUCCUGUAUGGUUCAGUUGGUAGAGCUUGGUGUAGUCAGCUUGGUGUAGUCAGUAUGUUAGUAGUUGUCCUGUUUGGAUCAGUUGGUAGAGCUUGGUGUAGUCAGCUUGGUGUAGUUAUUAUGUUAGUAGUUGGUGUAGUCAGUAUGUUAGUAGUUAUCCUGUAUGGUUCAGUUGAUAGAGCUUGGUGUAGUCAGCUUGGUGUAGUCAGUUUGGUGUAGUCAGCUUGGUGUAGUCAGUUUGGUGUAGUCAGCUUGGUGUAGUCAGUGUGUUAGUAGUUAUCCUGUAUGGAUCAGUUUGUAUAGAGCUUGGUGUAGUCAGCUUGGUGUAGUCAGUGUAUUAAUAGUUAUCCUGUAUGGAUCAGUUUGUGUAGUCAGAAUGUUAGUAGUUGUCCUGUAUGGAUCAGUUGGUAGAGCUUGGUGUAGUCAGCUUGGUGUAGUCAGUGUAUUAAUAGUUAUCCUGUAUGGAUCAGUUUGUGUAGAGCUUGCAACACCAGGGUUGUUGGUUCGAUUCCCGGGGCCAGCCAUAUGUAAAAUAUAUCCAGCAUGACUGUCAGUUGCUUUGAAUAAACGCUGCUGCUAAGUGGAGUAUAUUAUGAUGUUUUUGAAAGGGCUCCUCUUUCAUCUCUGCUGUGAGCGAGGAAGUGUGAAAUAUUCACCCACCAUUUUAACCAUAUUAACGAUAAUUUAUUGUUCCAACAACAACAACAUCUUACCAUUUAUUUCCAAGCCUUUUCUUUUCACAUUUUUAACCAUCCCCAAUGCGCCUCUGACCAAACAACUCCUUUGUGUCCCAAAACGCCCCCUUAUUCCAUAUAUAGUACCUAUUGUCCUGGUUGGAAGUAGUGCACUUUAUAGGGAAUAGGGUUCCGUUUUGGAACGGGGAACACAGUGUGUGUGGUUCCCUCCUCCCGUCUGCUGAGCACUGAGAACUCAUUAGAUUAGCAGUCCUCACACCUCACCGUACUAAUCA
rnacentral:lncRNA from 13 species